GCCCAAAUAGCUCAGUUGGUAGAGCAUGAGACUUUUAAUCUUAGGGUUGGGGGUUCAAGCCCCCCUUUGGGCA
rnacentral:tRNA from 1 species